rnacentral:tmRNA from 1 species
UACAGACAAAAUAAAAAUAACUGGAAACAGAAAUAAUUUAGCGGUUGCAUACGCUUAGUUAGCGGUAACCACUUCACUAUUACUACACUUACGAGUAAUAUUGAAGUUAAUAUAGUAAGUUAUAAUAUAUCCCAUUUCUAUAAGAUAUAUCGAAUUUAUUAGAAUAAUAAAUAUUACUUUUGUUAAUUUAUAAAAUAUUUAUGAAUCCAUAAAAUUAACUAAACCUGUAGAUAAAUUUAGAUAAGUAUUUUUGGACAGGGGUUCAACUCCCCUCGACUCCACCA